GGAUGGUAGUUUUAGGUUAAUCUAGAACUUUUAAGUUUCAAGUUAUUCAGUAGCAAGCAGCUUUGGAGGACAGUAAAAAUAAGGUCAACUUAUGCCUUGGAGGCUUGGAUUGGAGCAUUAGAAUUUGAGAUUGUUGAUAAAGCUUUUCUAAAGCAGCUCAAACUGUUCCGGAAACAGGGAAUGGUAAGAGACUUGGAAAGGGAGGAUUUCAUACAUGAAAGCUUUGGAAAUGUUAUCCCCUCAAGCAUAUUACUGAGAGCCAGAACCAGGUUGUGAUUACUGAUAGGAUCUGGGCCACAACUCCUUUCUUCAACCAACCAACCAAGCUUCUUGAACCCCAAAGAUGUUGAUGAAGUCCAAAAAGAGCAAGAGCCUCCAACUCAACUGCUAGACAGGGAAAAUUGUAAAGCUAGCAAGUACUGAAGACAUUCCUGGCAUGACAUGAAAACACAAGACUGUUUUAUUCAAAACCUUCUGUUAGAAUCAUAAGUAUUCAGAUCUUUGGUUGAUGCCCUACUAACCCAGAAUGUUGAUGGGAAUUCACAUUUUUGACUGCCAGUAUCAUCUGUGGAGCAUAAUUGUUUGUUGUUGUAUCAGAUGAAUUCAAUUCACCAUGCCCUACCGAAGAGAUUUCUGCUUAAAGUGUUCAUUUGGUAGAAGCAAAACUAGCAUAUCUGAAUGGGAUUAGCAGAGUCUAAUUAAGUUCCACCCUUGUACGAGUUUGUAAUUACUUGGGUCAUUGCAUAUUUUUGACGAGUGCUGCUACUGGCCAUUUGUUCUAUUGGAUAGUUUUGGGUGUUUAGCAGUAGAUAGUAGUUUGGAUGUUUAACAGGAGCUGCUAUGCCAUUUGUUUUGUUUCAUCUUUAUGCUUUCAUUUUAAAAUUGAGUUAAGUAGAUUCAUCUUUUACACAUUUCCUGCAAUGCGGUAA